rnacentral:rRNA from 1 species
UACAGGUUGACCUCGGAUCAGGUAGGGAUACCCGCUGAACUUAAGCAUAUCAAUAAGCGGAGGAAAAGAAACCAACAGGGAUUACCUCAGUAACGGCGAGUGAAGCGGUAACAGCUCAAAUUUGAAAGCUAGCUCUUUUAGGGUUCGCAUUGUAAUUUGUAGAAGAUGCUUCGGGUGUGGCCCCGGUCUAAGUUCCUUGGAACAGGACGUCAUAGAGGGUGAGAAUCCCGUAUGUGACUGGGUGCUUUCGCUCAUGUGAAGCUCUUUCGACGAGUCGAGUUGUUUGGGAAUGCAGCUCAAAAUGGGUGGUAAAUUUCAUCUAAAGCUAAAUAUUGGCCAGAGACCGAUAGCGCACAAGUAGAGUGAUCGAAAGAUGAAAAGCACUUUGGAAAGAGAGUUAAACAGUACGUGAAAUUGUUGAAAGGGAAGCGCUUGCAACCAGACUUGCGCGCUGAUGAUCAUCCGGGCUUCUGCCCGGUGCACUCGUCUGCGCUCAGGCCAGCAUCGGUUUCGGUGGUGGGAUAAAGGCCUUGGGAAUGUAGCUCCUCUCGGGGAGUGUUAUAGCCCUCGGUGCAAUGCCGCCUACCGGGACCGAGGACCGCGCUUCGGCUAGGAUGCUGGCGUAAUGGUUGUAAGCGACCCGUCUUG